UAAGAUCAUGCACACUCUGUAACAUAACACAUAUCAUAAUUUUGUAUUUCAAUCAUCAGGAAAUAAUUUUCUCUUUUAUCAGCAUACUAGUAUCCAUGGGGAUCCAUAGGGGGUCCCUGCUACACGUGAACCAUUCACAUUAAUAACUUAAUUCCAGGGCCGUCCUCAUACCCCGUCCGGUAUGAGGGUGAAACGAGUCGUCCCCAUACCUCAUCCGGUAUGGGCGCCAAAACACAUAAAGUCUCCAUACCCCGUCCGAUAUGAGAGACCACGUUCCUGGUAGGGUUCCCUAUGGACCCGGUCCGUCCACCAUCUCGGAGGAUAUCUAGUUAGGCUGUCGACACUAUCCAUUUAUCAAUUCACAUACCUUUUUCCAUUUUUCUUAAUCUCAAUUAUCCAAUCGAAC
rnacentral:lncRNA from 1 species